rnacentral:misc_RNA from 1 species
AAGUCGUAACAAGGUUUCCGUAGGUGAACCUGCGGAAGGAUCAUUAGCAUGUAUCCAACGUUAAACAACCCUGUGAACUUUCAACCCCGCCGGAAUGAGAUUAAUUUCCAACUCCGGCGAAGACAAGUGACCUGGCACCUGACCUCAUCAAAGCUCUGACAGCGUGCCUCUGGAUGCUUAAUGGAAGGGUGAUCGCUGGAGGCCCACACGGCCGGCGACCGGGUCAGCGGCAUUCUUUAAUACUUAACAUGACGACAGUUCCUCUUUAACUUGAGUUGAGCUAUAACAAAAAACUAAUACAACUGUUAACAAUGGAUAUCUUGGUUCUC